AGAGUUUGAUCAUGGCUCAGAUUGAACGCUAGCGGCAUGCUUAACACAUGCAAGUCGAACGGUAACAGCAGAGCUUGCUCUGGCUGACGAGUGGCGGACGGGUGAGUAAUGCUUAGGAAUCUGCCCAGUAGCGGGGGACAACAUGUGGAAACGCAUGCUAAUACCGCAUACGCCCUACGGGGGAAAGCAGGGGAUCUUCGGACCUUGCACUAUUGGAUGAGCCUAAGUCAGAUUAGCUUGUUGGUGGGGUAAAAGCCUACCAAGGCGACGAUCUGUAGCUGGUCUGAGAGGACGAUCAGCCACACUGGAACUGAGACACGGUCCAGACUCCUACGGGAGGCAGCAGUGGGGAAUAUUGCACAAUGGGGGAAACCCUGAUGCAGCAAUGCCGCGUGUGUGAAGAAGGCCCGAGGGUUGUAAAGCACUUUCAGUAAGGAGGAAAAGUAUGUAGUUAAUAACUGCGUACCCUGACGUUACUUACAGAAGAAGCACCGGCUAACUCCGUGCCAGCAGCCGCGGUAAUACGGAGGGUGCGAGCGUUAAUCGGAAUUACUGGGCGUAAAGCGUGCGUAGGCGGCACGGUCAGUCGGAUGUGAAAGCCCAGGGCUCAACCUUGGAAUUGCAUUCGAUACUGCCGAGCUAGAGUAUGUUAGAGGAAAGUGGAAUUCCCGGUGUAGCGG
rnacentral:rRNA from 1 species